CAGUCGCCACGGUAACACAGAGGGUGCAAGCGUUAAUCGGAAUUACUGGGCGUAAAGCGCGCGUAGGUGGUUUGUUAAGUUGGAUGUGAAAUCCCCGGGCUCAACCUGGGAACUGCAUCCAAAACUGGCAAGCUAGAGUAUGGUAGAGGGUGGUGGAAUUUCCUGUGUAGCGGUGAAAUGCGUAGAUAUAGGAAGGAACACCAGUGGCGAAGGCGACCACCUGGACUGAUACUGACACUGAGGUGCGAAAGCGUGGGGAGCAAACAGGAUUAGAUACCCCUGUAGUCCCUGUCUCUUAUAC
rnacentral:rRNA from 1 species